GGGACAUGAGUGAGCUCACAUCCAUGUGAGCUGGUGGUCAGAGCAGGUCCUGGCUGAGGAUAUUCACAGAAUUCCCAGAAUGACCAGGUUGGAAGAGACCUUCAAGAUCAUUGAGUCCAACCCAGCCCAAACACCUCAACUCAACCCUGGCACCCAGUGCCACAUCCAGGCUUUGUUAAACACACCCAGGGAUGGGGACUGCACCACCUCCCCAGGCAGCCAUUCCAGAACUUUAUCACUCUUUCUGUGAAAAACUUUUUCCUGAUAUCCAGCCUGUAUUUCCCUGGGUGCAGCUGGAGGCUGUGUGCUCUGGUUCUGUCAGGAGAAAGAGACCAGUAUCAGUAUGAUUGAUUUGGAGGUAAUAUGGAGUCUUACAGAGGACCUGGUGAUGUUUUAGCAUCAGCAUUGCUGCACCUCCACUGGAAAAUGUCCUUGUGCAGCUCUGAGUUACACCAGAACAAGGUCUGGCACGUGGGGCUUGAUGAAACCAAAAGAUGGUGCAGCUUGAUGGCCAUUUCAGUUGUUUUUCUUCUUUUAUUAUUAAUUAUUUUAUCAGCUAUAGAUUCAAAACCUGGUUUGAUCUCACAUACCAAAAGUACUUGAUUGUCUUUUGGUAUUGACCAUUGGAAUUACACCAUAGGAUAAGGUGCAUCAUCUCCCUUUUCAUUUAAGGAGAAAAGGUUAAAUCCAAAGGAGUCUUCUACCCAGCAGGUAGAAAUAUUUUAGGGAGCUCUCUAGGGGUGUUUGGUGCUGGCUGGUUUUGGAAAAGAGCAGCUGUUUCUAGAAAUCACAUAAAACACCUCAAUUGUGGUGGAAAACACAGUAAUUCAAGGAAUUACUGGAUCAGAGAUCCUAGGUUGUGGGAUUGUGCUUUUCUAUCACCAGCACUAUUGAAAUAUUUGCCUCCUUUUUAUUCAAGGCAUGUGAUCAUAGAGAGAGGUGUCAAGUCUCCAUCUGAUUAAAAUAAUUCCCAUAACAUGCUUAGUUUUGCACAGAUGAAAGACCUGCCAAACCAUAUCAUUAUUGUAUUUUCUCUUUAGCUGUGACUGAGGAAAUAAUCUGCUAGGUGACAUUUUACUUAGGAUUUUUGAGUCAUCCCACUCCACCAGAGGAUUAUUUCCAAAGAUGAUUUGUGACUAGAAAGGAAAAAAGGUUUUAAAGCCCUGACAUUUUUUUAUGUGCUGUUAUUUUGAGUCUCAUUUCAUGAACAGCUUUUAUUCUUGCUGAGUUUUGAGUAAGAAUAUGUAUUUUUUUUAAGGAAUUAUCUGGAGUUUGAGAGCUGAAGGUGACUUGGCAUUGUCCUUUGAGUUAACAGUGGUUGAGAACAGUUAUUCUGACUUGACACAGAGACAGCUUAGACAAGUUGUUAUGGCAGAAGCAGAGGAAGAGUGGAAGGGUUGUCGCUCAUCCAUGAUUUUUUAAAAACAACAGAAAGACAAAGGAAUUGUUCUCCUGGCAAGACACAGCCACAUACAUGAUUGGUUUUAGUCACACAGAAGCUGCAAGGAGUCUGUCCAAGCUCCAAGGGUGAAAAAGAUCUGAUGGUUGGAAAUUUAACUGAGCUUAUCUAAGCACCUUCUGAGAAGGGACACAAUUUAUAAGCCACUUCCUCCAAAAGGGCCAAGUGCAUGGGUCUAAAGGAAUAAUCCUCACAGAAAACAAUAAAAGGGAUAAAAGAGCCUUGUCUUGUUUAUGCCUGUAAAAAUCUGGAAUAAUUUCCCAGAGAUUCAAAGAAGUUACUGCAGAACUGGGUCCUAACCUGCCUAUCCAUAUGGAAAUGCAACACCUUUCCAAGGCCCUGGGCUUUGCUUUUCUUGACAAAUAAUCAAGUUAGUGAGCCUGGAUGGAUAAAUCACACCAGAACAUGCCAGAGCACAUCAGCCCAGGUGUGCCGUGUGCAGGUUAAGCAGCAAGGUGCAAAGCAGACACAGUCAACUGGAAGUCAAAGAGAAGGAUCUUCUUUCAGCUACACUUUUUUAAAAAGGGUCUAGAAUUCUUCAUAGAAAGAGGAUUUUUUAAGCAACCCUCCAUUGACUUCAGUGCAGCGACCAGGUGUGGCUGAAGGCAGAUCUCAGCUCACAAGGGAUCCCUUAGUCCAGUGGUUUCCAUCCUUUUUGGAUUUGGUCCAUCCAAGGGACCUGCAAACUCCCAUAAUGUGAAUUUAAACCAAAGAAUUUUGGUUUUGAUACCCACGGUCUUGGGCUGUGGACCAUCACCAGCUGCAGGUCAGGGCCUCAUAAACCACUGGACUAACGGUAUCCAAACCAUGGCUUUGGUUCAGCAGAAUAAACAGUACAGAAAGGCAGGAGAACAAAAACUAAAAUAGUUGCCCCUUGGGUGCCUCCUGAGACCCAGACAAUGGUCAUUUCACAGGAACAGAGAUAAAUCAGGUAAAACUCAGACCCAGGGUGCAGUGAGCCAGGAAGCAGACACGGGAUCUAUUUCCUGUUGUGGCAGCAGGAAUGUUGUCCUCUUGGUGAAGCUACAAGUCAUCCCAGUUUCACAAACAGGAAGGAUUGUGAGGAUGGAAAGAGCCUUCAUGAGAUCCACCUGUGCUCCAGGGCUUUGCCAGAUGAACCUGAUUUUUCCCCAGGCAGAUCAAGCCUGGUUACUGAUUGUCAAGAAAGCAACGAGUUCCCUCCUCAGUCAAGUGCAUUAUGCCAAAUUCAUCCCUGGUGCCAUUCUGCACACAACAAUCCUCUUGCUCCACAGAUGAGCCUAUUUUUCUCCACUGGCCUGAAGCAGCUCUCCCUCUGUUUCACCCUGGAGAUGACUCAGGGAUCUAUUUUCUUCCUUAUUACCAAGUUCAAGCAAUUGCACAUCACAGAACAAAUUUAUUUCAUGACAUUUCUGAAGCUUCCAGGCAAACUCCACUUAUAUUUCUGUAACCAAGCUCACAUUUUUUUUUGUUUGUUUAUGAUUACAGGAAUAACAGCAGAUGAGAAAUUUGGGGCUGAACAUACACAUUUGCAACCCUCAGAGCUGAAAAUGUUCCUAACAUUUUAUACAACACUUGUAUGCUUUUAUAACAUCUGCCUGAAGUGAACUUCAUCAAGAUACAACACCCUGACAGAGAUUUAUUUGUGUUCCUCUACAUCCUGCACACAACUUAUUUUUCUUUAUUUGGGGUAUAGAAAAGACAAAGAAUUCAAAUACUUGAAGGUUUAUAUAGCUGAAAAAAU